rnacentral:rRNA from 1 species
GACGAACGCUGGCGGCGUGCCUAAUACAUGCAAGUAGAACGCUGAAGCUUGGUGCUUGCACCGAGCGGAUGAGUUGCGAACGGGUGAGUAACGCGUAGGUAACCUGCCUGGUAGCGGGGGAUAACUAUUGGAAACGAUAGCUAAUACCGCAUAAAAUGAAUUAUCGCAUGAUAAUUCAUUGAAAGGUGCAAAUGCAUCACUACCAGAUGGACCUGCGUUGUAUUAGCUAGUUGGUGGGGUAACGGCUCACCAAGGCGACGAUACAUAGCCGACCUGAGAGGGUGAUCGGCCACACUGGGACUGAGACACGGCCCAGACUCCUACGGGAGGCAGCAGUAGGGAAUCUUCGGCAAUGGACGGAAGUCUGACCGAGCAACGCCGCGUGAGUGAAGAAGGUUUUCGGAUCGUAAAGCUCUGUUGUAAGAGAAGAACGAGCGUGAGAGGGAAAGUUCACAC